ensembl:snoRNA small nucleolar RNA SNORD66
CUCCAGUGAUGACUUAUUUUAUGUGCCACGUGUCUGGGCCACUGAUUAUUAAUGAUGGGAUUGAGGAACUGAGGAG